rnacentral:lncRNA from 1 species
UUGUUCCCCUCUAUGUGUCCAUGUGUUCUCAUCAUUUAGCUCCCACUUAUAAGUGAGAAUUUUUAUGGAUACAUAGUAUUCCAUUGUGUAUAUGUUCCACAUUUUUAAGCCAGUCUGUUGUUGAUGGACAUUUCAGUUGAUUCCAUAUCUUUGCUAUUCUGAAUAGUGCUGCAAUGAACAUACGUGUGUCUGUGUCUUUAUAAAAGAACGAUUUAUGUUUCCUUGGCUAUAUACCCAGUAAUGGGAUUGCUGGGUCAAAUGGUCUUUAGUCUUUGAGGAAUCACCUCACUAUCUUUCACAAUGGUUGAACCAAUUCACACUUCCACCAAUAGUGUAUAAGCACUCCUUUUUCUCCACGACCUUGCCAGCAUCUGUUAUUUUUUGACAUUUUAGUAAUAGCCAUUCUGACAGGUGUGGAAUUGUAUCUCAUUGUGGUUUUGAUUUGCAUUUAUCUAAUGAUCAGUGAUGUUGAGCUUUUUUUCAUAUGCUUGUUGACCACAUGUAUGUCUUCUUCUGAGAUGUGUCUGUUCAUGUCCUCUGCCCGCUUUUUAAUGGGGUUGUUUUUCUUCUUGUAAAUUUGU